rfam:Chelonia mydas contig200506, whole genome shotgun sequence.
UCCUUGUUAGUAUAGUGGUGAGUAUCCCCGCCUGUCACGUGGGAUACCGAGGUUCAAUUCCCCGACGGGGAG